rnacentral:rRNA from 1 species
UACGGAGGGAGCUAGCGUUGUUCGGAAUUACUGGGCGUAAAGCGCGCGUAGGCGGUUUUUUAAGUCAGAGGUGAAAGCCCAGUGCUCAACACUGGAACUGCCUUUGAAACUGGAAAACUUGAAUCUUGGAGAGGUCAGUGGAAUUCCGAGUGUAGAGGUGAAAUUCGAAGAUAUUCGGAAGAACACCAGUGGCGAAGGCGACUGACUGGACAAGUAUUGACGCUGAGGUGCGAAAGCGUGGGGAGCAAACAGG